rnacentral:rRNA from 13 species
CUUCUAAGCUUCAGGCUAUUCGAGACCGUACCCCAAACCGACACAGGUGGUCAGGUAGAGAAUACCAAGGCGCUUGAGAGAACUCGGGUAAAGGAACUAGGCAAAAUGGUGCCGUAACUUCGGGAGAAGGCACGCCGGCGUGUACGUGAAACCCCUGCGGGUGGAGCGGAAGCCGGUCGAAGAUACCAGGCCCCUGCGACUGUUUAUUAAAAACACAGCACUGUGCUAACACGAAAGUGGACGUAUACGGUGUGACGCCUGCCCGG